UAAUUGAAGAGUUUGAUCAUGGCUCAGAUUGAACGCUGGCGGCAGGCCUAACACAUGCAAGUCGAGCGGCAGCACAGAGGAACUUGUUCCUUGGGUGGCGAGCGGCGGACGGGUGAGUAAUGCCUGGGAAAUUGCCCGGUAGAGGGGGAUAACCAUUGGAAACGAUGGCUAAUACCGCAUAACCUCGUAAGAGCAAAGCAGGGGACCUUCGGGCCUUGCGCUACCGGAUAUGCCCAGGUGGGAUUAGCUAGUUGGUGAGGUAAGGGCUCACCAAGGC
rnacentral:rRNA from 1 species